CCUACGGGAGGCAGCAGUGAGGAAUAUUGGUCAAUGGACGAGAGUCUGAAACAGCCAAGUAGCGUGAAGGAUGACUGCCCGAUGGGUUGUAAACUUCUUUUAUAUGGGAAUAAAAUGUUCCAAGUGUGGGCUUUUGUAUGUACCAUAUGAAUAAGGAUAGGCUAACUCCGUGCCAGCAGCCGCGGUAAUACGGAGGAUCCGAGCGUUAUCCGGAUUUAUUGGGGUUAAGGGGGGGGUAGGUGGGUUGUUAGGUCAGUUGUGAAAGUUUGCGGAUCAACCGUAAAAUUUCAAUUGAAACUGGCAGUCUUGAGUACAGUAGAGGUGGGCGGAAUUCGUGGUGUAGCGGUGAAAUGCUUAGAUAUCACGAAGAACUCCGAUUGCGAAGGCAGCUCACUGGACUGCAACUGACACUGAGGCUCGAAAGUGUGGGUAUCAAACAGGAUUAGAUACCCGGGUAGUC
rnacentral:rRNA from 1 species